rnacentral:rRNA from 1 species
UACGGGGGGUGCAAGCGUUAUCCGGAUUCACUGGGUUUAAAGGGUGCGUAGGCGGACAGGUAAGUCAGUGGUGAAAUCUCUGGGCUUAACCCAGAAACUGCCGUUGAUACUAUUUGUCUUGAAUAUCCUGAGGUAGGCGGAAUAUGUCAUGUAGCGGUGAAAUGCUUAGAUAUGACAUAGAACACCGAUAGCGAAGGCAGCUUACUACAGGAUGAUUGACGCUGAGGCACGAAAGCGUGGGGAGCAAACAGG